rnacentral:misc_RNA from 1 species
UCCGGGUUUCGCCCGGCAGUCUCCCUAGAACUUUCAACUCCGUACUACUAGCAUGUCAAGCCUUGGUAAGGUUCUUCGCGUUGCAUCGAAUUAAACCACACGCUCCGCCGCUUGUGCGGGCCCCCGUCAAUUCCUUUGAGUUUUAGCCUUGCGGCCGUACUCCCCAGGCGGGAUGCUUAAAGCGUUAGCUGCGGCACGGAGGGGGUCGACACCCCCCACACCUAGCAUCCACCGUUUAGGGCGUGGACUAC